AGGAGAAUGGGAGCAGAAGUUGGAGCAGAGAACCAGACUGCGUCUGAUGAUUCCCGAUUUCUGGCAACAAUAUCCAGCUGACUCCUGGCCUCUGAUGACUGUUGACCUCCCGGCCUGGCGUAGUGGCCUCCCCACCUAUUGUACUGGCACGCAGGGCAGCCUCAUGGUGUGGUGUCCUCUUAGCCUGGUGUGGCUUACUUGGCCUAGCACCACAGUCUGAAGCAAUCUCCCAGCCUCACGGUCCUCAAGUUGAUGCCCAGUGCAAUCUGGACCCAGGAUUCGGUGCAGACUAGAGGCCAGGGAGGCCAGAACUGAAUGCAGUAUUCUAAAAGUGGCCUAACCAGUACCCUAUACAGCCGCAACAUGACAUCCCAACUCCAAGACUCAAUGCAGUGAUCA